AACGCACAUGGCGCCUUCCAGUAUCCUGGGAGGCAUGCCUGUCCGAGCGUCGUUUCAACCCUCGAGCCCUCGUGGCCCGGCGUUGGGGAUCUGCCCAGGCAGGCCCCGAAAACCAGUGGCGGACCCGUCCGGGACCUCUCCUUGCGUAGUAGCAUCAGCCUCGCAUCGGGAGCCGGCGGGCCUUCCGGCCUCUAAACCCCCCACAAGUCCGCUCCGGCGGCAUCAAGGUUGACCUCGGAUCAGGUAGGAAUACCCGCUGAACUUAA
rnacentral:misc_RNA from 2 species